rnacentral:rRNA from 1 species
UACGGAGGGAGCUAGCGUUGUUCAGAAUUACUGGGCGUAAAGCGCACGUAGGCGGCUUUGUAAGUUAGAGGUGAAAGCCCGGGGCUCAACUCCGGAACUGCCUUUAAGACUGCAUCGCUUGAAUCCAGGAGAGGUGAGUGGAACUCCGAGUGUAGAGGUGAAAUUCGUAGAUAUUCGGAAGAACACCAGUGGCGAAGGCGGCUCACUGGUCCGGUACUGACGCUGAUGUGCGAAAGCGUGGGGAGCAAACAGG